rnacentral:rRNA from 1 species
AUUGAACGCUGGCGGCAGGCCUAACACAUGCAAGUCGAGCGGAUGAAGGGAGCUUGCUCCUGGAUUCAGCGGCGGACGGGUGAGUAAUGCCUAGGAAUCUGCCUGGUAGUGGGGGAUAACGUCCGGAAACGGGCGCUAAUACCGCAUACGUCCUGAGGGAGAAAGUGGGGGAUCUUCGGACCUCACGCUAUCAGAUGAGCCUAGGUCGGAUUAGCUAGUUGGUGGGGUAAAGGCCUACCAAGGCGACGAUCUGUAACUGGUCUGAGAGGAUGAUCAGUCACACUGGAACUGAGACACGGUCCAGACUCCCACGGGAGGCAGCAGUGGGGAAUAUUGGACAAUGGGCGAAAGCCUGAUCCAGCCAUGCCGCGUGUGUGAAGAAGGUCUUCGGAUUGUAAAGCACUUUAAGUUGGGAGGAAGGGCAGUAAGUUAAUACCUUGCUGUUUUGACGUUACCAACAGAAUAAGCACCGGCUAACUUCGUG